GUUGGGGUAGAAUCGAAAAGCAAGCAAGACUAGGAAGCUCUGAGUGGACACCAGGGAUUGUGAGAAGCAGGGACACACCCCACCCCACUCCAG
rnacentral:lncRNA from 1 species